CUGUAACACAAUGUAAAAGCAAGAAAUACCGUUAAGUGUGAACGAGUCAUGGAUCGAUUUCUUCGUUACAAAAUAAUUUCAAUACUAAUGAAAAUACGCUCUAAAACUAUAUUGAUAAUUCUGUUAACACUAUGUGUGAUAAAGUUCGGAUAUAAAACAAACAAAAUUGACAAAAAUCAGGAACUAUCAACCCGCAUUAGCCUGCAGUUGGUUGCAUCCAAAGGACACAAGAUCUCAACGAAAUUUGAACGUUUUUAUUUGAACGUAUCAUCCGAAAAAUUAAUGGACCCCCUUAUUCACAAACAUCAAUAUCAAACGCUACUUCAUAUCGGUAAGGAGUGUAAAAAAAAAAAAAAAUUCAUUUUGGUUCUUAUUUAUUCGGCACAACUAAAUCUGACGGACGUCAUAUAAUAAGAAAUACUUUUGGAACGAUCACGAAUUUUGCAAAUAGAGAUAUUGAAUAUUUAUUUGUGAUAGGGCAAACAACUAAUGAUACUCUUCAACGAAAAAUUGAAAAGGAAAGUGUAAGAUACUUGGAUAUCAUACAAGGAAAUUUUAUUGACAGCUAUGCAAAUUUAACAUACAAAAGAGUAUUUAGCUUGUUUUGGGUAAAUACAUUCUGUAAAAAUGCAAGUUAUGUCAUCAAAAUUGACGAUGACAUCACUAUUAACAUUCCAAUGUUAAUUCUUUAUCUUAACAAUAAGCACAACAAGAACGUUACAAACGUUUUAGAAUGCAAAAUCGUUUCCGGAGCUAGACCUUACCGUAACCCUAAAAACAAGUGGUAUACGCCUUACGCUGAAUAUCCGUUUCCAACGUAUCCACCUUAUUGUGCAGGACCUUCCUCCAUCAUGUCUAUUAAUGUUAUUCGACAAAUGUAUAAAGGGACAGCUGUUGUUCCGUUUUUUUGGCUGGAAGAUGUGUAUGGAGGUGGAUUUAUUCCUUGGGUUUUAAACAUAAAAAUAGUGAGGCCGUUGUGUUAUAUAAAGAAUGUGCAUCAAAGUAUCAAUGGACAUCCAUGUCAUUUGUUUUACAUAAAUAAUUUAAAGAAGGCAAGUGAUUCAUAUAAGAUGUGGAAGACAAUAGAAACAAGUAUCAAGUUAAGGCAAAAUUAUACUUGUAGGUGUUAAUAAAUUGAAUUUUUAUAUACAUGAUAUAAGGCAUCAAUUAAAUGAUUUCCCCC
rnacentral:lncRNA from 1 species